rnacentral:rRNA from 1 species
AGUGAACGCUGGCGGCAGGCCUAACACAUGCAAGUCGAACGGCAGCACGGCAGUAGCAAUACUGUGGGUGGCGAGUGGCGGACGGGUGAGGAAUACAUCGGGAUCUACCCUGUUGUGGGGGAUAACGUAGGGAAACUUAACGCUAAUACCGCAUAAGAACUGAGGUUGAAAGCGGCGGACCGCAAGGCGUCGCGCGAUUGGAUGAACCGAUGUCCGAUUAGCUAGUUGGCGGGGUAAAGGCCCACCAAGGCGACGAUCGGUAGCUGGUCUGAGAGGACGACCAGCCACACUGGAACUGAGACACGGUCCAGACUCCUACGGGAGGCAGCAGUGGGGAAUAUUGGACAAUGGGCGCAAGCCUGAUCCAGCCAUGCCGCGUGGGUGAAGAAGGCC